rnacentral:rRNA from 1 species
AAUCAGUAGUCUUUUAAUUGAAGGCUGGUAUGAAUGGUUGGACGAAAUAUUAACUGUUUCAUAAAAAUUUGUAGUAGAAUUUUAUUUUUUAGUAAAAAAGCUAAAAUUUAUUUAAAAGACGAGAAGACCCUAUAAAUCUUUAUAUAUAAUUUAUUAUAAUUUUUUAGAUAUUUUUUAUUAUUAUAAAUGACUAUAUUUUAUUGGGGUGAUAUUAAAAUUUAAUAAACUUUUAAUUUAAAAAAUCAUUAAUUUAUGAAUAAUUGAUCCAUUAUUAGUGAUUAAAAAAAUAAGUUACUUUAGGGAUAACAGCGUAAUUUUUUUGGAGAGUUCAUAUUGAUAAAAAAGAUUGCGACCUC